CAGUAAGAAGGGAAAAACUACCCAUUUCUCCUUCCCGCCAAGUCCAGCCAUCACCUUAGUUGAAGGGCAACACUUCCACCGUUGGUUAUCAACAUUUUCGACCACAUUUCGAUUGCACCCAUUUUUUUCCAAAUUACAUACAUUCUACCUAAACCCAUUUUGACACUUAGAUGGGACAAAACCCUCCCCUCGUUGCCCGACAGUCGCCUUAGUCGUAGAUACUCUCGCAGCACUUCAACCAUCGGUCGUCAACAUUUUUUGCUACACUUCAGUUGCACCCAUUUUCUCCAAAUUACUCACUUUCCAUCUCUACCCAUUUCGGCACUUAGAUGGAAGAAAACUCUGCCCUCACUUCCCGGUCGUCACCUCAGUCAUAGGUACUUUGGCAGCGCUUGAAGAUCUUCGACUGCAAGCGAACUUUAAGUCGGACUUGGUUCCAUUUGUAGGCAAGACAAGGGAACAUGACUACCAUUUCAUUUAUUUUUUCCGUUAUACAAUUCAUGUGCUAAUUAUGAUCAUCGAAGUACCGAAAAAAUAGAGAAUGACAGCUAACUAUAAAUGUUUUGGUCUAACCCAGCUUUCUAAAAUUUGAUGUCAAAUGGCUGUGCUUGUAGUGGUUUGUAGAAGUGAAGAUCCGAGCUUCAAUCCCAUAGCUUUCCAAUAUACAUGAGUGAAUACAUGAUUUUCAUUACGAACAAGUUUCAUUUGUGUAUUAUUGAAUAUUGGCUGGAAGAACGAAUUGUUAUUGUGAAUUUACCUUUAUUUGAGUUGAUUCUUUGUGAUUUUUUUCCAUCUUAGAAUAUGCGUUAAGAAUUACAAAAUCUAUCACUAUUGUAGAGCUAAGGGGCAUUUCUCAACGGACUGCCCACGGAAACGCCGAUUGUUGUGAUUCUCCGAUCAC
rnacentral:lncRNA from 1 species